CGCCCCCCUAACUUUGCAAGUCGAGCGAUGAAACCCUUCGGGGUGAAUUAGCGGCGGACGGGUGAGUAACACGUGGGUAACCUGCCUCAAAGAGGGGAAUAGCCUUCCGAAAGGAAGAUUAAUACCGCAUAAUAUGUUUUGGUCGCAUGACCGAGACAUCAAAGGAGUAAUCCGCUUUGAGAUGGACCCGCGGCGCAUUAGCUGGUUGGUGAGGUAACGGCUCACCAAGGCGACGAUGCGUAGCCGACCUGAGAGGGUGAUCGGCCACAUUGGAACUGAGACACGGUCCAGACUCCUACGGGAGGCAGCAGUGGGGAAUAUUGCGCAAUGGGGGAAACCCUGACGCAGCAACGCCGCGUGAAUGAUGAAGGCCUUCGGGUUGUAAAGUUCUGUCUUCUGGGACGAUAAUGACGGUACCAGAGGAGGAAGCCACGGCUAACUACGUGCCAGCAGCCGCGGUAAUACGUAGGUGGCAAGCGUUGUCCGGAUUUACUGGGCGUAAGGAUGCGUAGGCGGACAUUUAAGUCAGAUGUGAAAUACCCGAGCUUAACUUGGGUGCUGCAUUUGAAACUGGGU
rnacentral:rRNA from 1 species